UGGAGAUUUGUAACUUAGGCUGCUAACUUGAGUUCGGGAGACUUUAUCUUCCAUCUUCAU
rnacentral:tRNA from 1 species